UUUUUUUUUUUUUUUCAUUAGUUAUUUUUUUAAACAAAAUUAUCAUUAUGUUUUGCUCUAUUAGAGAGUGGAACUUAUGUUAAAAGAUAGAAAGUUUUUAUAGCAUUACAAUAGGAAUGAUGAGUUUUACAAAUUACAAUUACUUAACAUUACAUUAUAGAAAUGAAGGUGGACGCAUCAUGGUUUGAUGCUCAUUCUCUACGCAGGUCCACUCCAAACGUGACAAACAAAAGUGUAGUCUAUUCUUUUAAAUAAGUUAUCAAAUUACUGUAUUACGAAGAAAAUCAGACGCACCAAUUACCAAAUGAGGAGAUGGCAAAUUUCCAUAUUUGGAAAUGAAACUCGACGCAACGGUCUUUGCUUCUUUUGGGUUGCUUCGAUAUAACUAUUGCUUCAAAAUCAUAUUACACCCACUAUGUCUAUUGCGUG
rnacentral:lncRNA from 1 species